CUUAAAUUUAGUAAAUUUACGUAAGUUAGCAGCAUUGUGCAUAAAAUAAGUAAACUUGUGUCACUAUUUGUAUUUUCACAAGUCAAAUUGAAAAAACACAAUACAGAAUCGCAAUUGUAAAUGUAUAUUCACUUUAUAAAUGAAUUAUACUUUAUAAUACCGUAAAUAUACUAACAUUUUUUACAAUUACUUCCAACUUUGUAAAAUAAUCCAGUCUACCGGUGAAAUCACAUGCAUACUGUGAAUUGUUGAUGCGCACGCAAUCAUUACUAUAACGCUUGCAGGUUAUAACAAGUUGGAGUGCAUUAGUUGUGGUAAUAUAUUUUGUACAAAAUAGUGUAUUUUGUUGUUAAAGGCGGAUAAUUACUUACUAUAAUUUGCCCAUGUCAUCUUUAAUUGUUAUGUUAAUGCAAUUUUUAUCACAGGGUGAUGAUAUGAAUAAUUUAAAUGAAAUUAUCAAGGUGGCUGCGCCAUGUGCAAUUGAAAUAGAGAGCGAUCCACAAACAAUUUUUCACGUAGUUUUAGAACGACAAGUAGUGAUUCCAAGUGUUGUCACUUUAAAAGAUGCAGUAUCUUGGGCGUUUGGAUUUUAUUUUAUAAUGAAUUUAGAAUAUCCAGACGAAGUAUCAGCAGUUUUGGAAAUGAUGCAAAGAUUUUUUUUGAAAAUACAUCCAGAUCAAGGAUCCAAAUCAAAAAGAAUAACACCAACAAAACGCAAAGUAAUUGGCCUUAUGAACAAAUUAAAUUAAUGUAAAGUAUAUACAACAUCAAUGACUUUGUUUUGUGUUUAUGAUUUUAUUACAUGUUUAUUAUGUUUUUCACCAUAAAAUAAAAGGUUCACUUUG